rnacentral:rRNA from 1 species
UGGGGAAUAUUGGACAAUGGGGGGAACCCUGAUCCAGCCAUGCCGCGUGUGUGAAGAAGGCCUUAUGGUUGUAAAGCACUUUAAGCGAGGAGGAGGGUACUGGUAUUAAUACUACCAGGUACUGGACGUUACUCGCAGAAUAAGCACCGGCUAACUCUGUGCCAGCAGCCGCGGUAAUACAGAGGGUGCGAGCGUUAAUCGGAUUUACUGGGCGUAAAGCGUGCGUAGGCGGCUAAUUGAGUCGGAUGUGAAAUCCCCGAGCUUAACUUUGGAAUUGCAUUCGAUACUGGUUAGCUAGAGUGUGGGAGAGGAUGGUAGAAUUCCAGGUGUAGCGGUGAAAUGCGUAGAGAUCUGGAGGAAUACCGAUGGCGAAGGCAGCCAUCUGGCCUAACACUGACGCUGAGGUACGAAAGCAUGGGGAGCAAACAGG